AGGACAACUCAGAACUCCUUAACUCAAGAAAGGAUGUGGAGCUGAAAAGAGGACAUGGUUCAAAUUGAAGUGAAAGAAGAAGGAGUUGUAGAAUACAUUGCCAGAACCAGGUAUUUUACUCACCCAGGAGUCCUACUCAGUUGCAACAGUGCCCAUGCCAGACAGACAAGAAACAUUAUGAAGAACAGCAACAGAAUAAUCAGAUGCAGCAAACCCUAAUGUGUUGUAGUGGGGAACUGCAGCUUCUUUUUCUCCAACUCUCUUACAUGAGAUUCUCAUUUGGAUUUUCUGUUGGUGUUACAAUAUUCUAAAAUGUCAUUGUUCAGUUGCCAGAGAACAGGACUUAACACUGUAGCCUUAUAUCAGGGAUAUAUGCUUAUCCUGUGUGUCUAUGCUAGUUAUAAAUUUGGAUAUUUAGGAAGGGCUUUCACUGAAAUAUGGGCUAUAUGUGGUAAUUAAUCUGGCCUCAGUGAUUAAAUUACAACCUAGCUAUAUUUUAACUUCUUGUUCUUUGGGAUUGUUCCUGGGGAAAAAAAAAAAAAAAAAAAAAAA